AGCAGCGUGGCCUAAUGGAAAAAGCACUGGUCUGGAGAGUCAGAGGUCCUGGAUUCUAACCCCAGCUUUGCCA
rnacentral:tRNA from 1 species